rnacentral:rRNA from 1 species
UGGGAUUUCAUAGACAACUAGGAUGUUGGCUUAGAAGCAGCCAUACAUUUAAAGAGUGCGUAACAGCUCACUAGUCGAGAAAACCUGCGCCGAAAAUUUAACGGGGCUAAAACACGACACCGAAGCUACGGCUUGACAGCUAACGCUGUUAGGGGUAGAGGAGCAUCCUGCAAGGACGAAGCCAAAGUGGAAACGAUGGUGGACGAAACAGGAGAGAGAAUGCCGGAAUGAGUAGCGAGAUAGAAGUAAGAAACUUCUAGGCCGAAUAUCUAAGGUUUCCUGGGUAAAGCUAAUCUUCCCAGGGUUAGUCGGGGCCUAAGGCGAGGACGAAAGUCGUAGUCGAUGGAUAACAGGUUGAUAUUCCUGUACUACGUAUCAUCAGAACUGUGGGGACGCAGGAGGAUAGGAAAACCGGGGAAUGGAAAAACCCGGCUAAGCACAAAGUCAAGGGAGAUAGGCAAAUCCGUCUCUUGAUGAUGAAGUGCGAUGGGGACUGAACAAAAGUAGGGAAGUUUCCGAAUCCACACUGUCGAGAAAAGCCGCUAUUGUGUGAUACGUACCCGUACCGUAAACCGACACAGGUAGAUGAGGAGAAAAUCCACAGGCCGACGGGAGAAGUGUUGUUAAGGAACUCGGCAAAAUGACCCCGUAACUUAGGGAGAAGGGGAGCCACGCAAGUGGCCGCAGAAAAGAGGCUCAAGCGACUGUUUAGCAAAAACACAGGUCUCUGCGAAACCGAAAGGUGAAGUAUAGGGGCUGACACCUGCCCGGUGCUGGAAGGUUAAAAGGAGAGGUUCGACGUAAGUCAAAGCUUUGAAUUCAAGCCCCAGUAAACGGCGGCCGUAACUAUAACGGUCCUAAGGUAGCGAAAUUCCUUGUCAGGUAAGUUCUGACCCGCACGAAAGGUGUAACGAUUUGAGCACUGUCUCGACAACACGCCCGGUGAAAUUGAAGAACCAGUGAAGAUACUGGUUACCCGCAACAGGACGGAAAGACCCCAUGGAGCUUUACUGCAGCCUGAUACUGGGAUUCGAUGAUAUAUGUACAGGAUAGGAGGGAGACUAGGAAUCCGGGACGCCAGUUUCGGAGGAGUCGACGGUGGGAUACCUCUCUUAUGUUAUUGGAUUUCUAACUUGGCACCGUGAUCCGGUGUGAGGACAAUGUCAGGCGGGCAGUUUGACUGGGGCGGUCGCCUCCUAAAAGGUAACGGAGGCGCUCGAAGGUCACCUCAGAAUGAUUGGAAACCAUUCAAAGAGUGUAAAGGCAAAAGGUGGCUUGACUGCGACACCGACGGGUGGAGCAGGUACGAAAGUAG